rnacentral:lncRNA from 1 species
UAUCUUGCUCCCUUUCUUGGCAUGUCUUAUGCCAUGUUUUGUGGUUUUUAAUAAAUUUGCUGAUUCAAAAAAAAAAAACAAUGAAGGGGAAUGCUCUCUCUCUCUCUCGCGCGCUCUCAGGACAGAAGGAUGAAGCUUACUAACAAUGAAGGGGAAUGAAUUUUGGGAAUGAAGGGUUAUGGACUUUAAGUUUUACUCUCUCAGUUUCUCAAUGAAGGGGAAUGAAUUUGAUUUUUAUGAACUUUAAGUUUCUCUCUCUCAGUUUCUCAAUGAAGGGGAAUGAAUGAAGGGGAAUGAAUUUGAUUUUUAUGAACUUUAAGUUUCUCUCUCUCAGUUUCUCUCUGGUUAUGAACUUUAAGUUUUACUAGCUAGUACUAUUCUAUGAUGAACUGAGUAGAUUUUUAUUUUGAUUUUGAUUUUAGUCUCUUCCUCUGAAGAAUCAUUUUUAAUUUUUGUUUUUCCUUGUAUGUGUUAUCUAGUUUAAGCUUCAUAGCUUCCUCUGAAUAGAAAGAAUCAUUUAAUUUGUUUCAUGAUAUUGCUACUUUUUCUUCUACUCACCAAAUGUAAUCUCCAGCUAUUUUUGGUUGUUUGGUUGCUUUCACUUUCAUUUGCCCAGUUUAUGCUUUAAAUUUGUACGUACUAAUGGUACUAUGUCUUUCCUCAUAUGGAUUUCUACUCUUUUUUUAAAUAAAAAAUAAAAAAAUUCAAAACUAUUCGUAAAAAUUUAUGACUUUGAUAUUGACAAGAAUUUUGGAGUUUCAUACUACUACUACUAGUUUAUAGGUUCUGACUUCAAGUACAAAGUCAAAAGUCUCAUAUUGCUUUGACCUUAAUAUACUUUGUAUUUUUCAUCCCGUGAGUGACAUGACAUGGCAUAACUUACACUUGUUAAUUACUCUUGUUGCUCAAAGUCAAGAAUC